rnacentral:rRNA from 1 species
GAGGGGGUGCAAACGUUAUUCGGGAUUUACUGGGCGUAAAGGGUGCGUAGACGGCGCAUUAAGUUGUUGUUAAAUCUUUCGGGCCUAACCGGGAAGCUUGCGAUGAAAACUAAUGUGCUAGAGGAUGGAAGAGAGAAGUGGAAUUCUUGGAGUAGCGGUAAAAUGCGUAGAUCUCAAGAGGAACACCGAUGGCGAAGGCAGCUUCUUGGUCCAAUCCUGACGUUGAUGCACGAAAGCGUGGGGAGCAAACAGGAUUAGAUACCCUGGUAGUCCACGCCGUAAACGAUGAUUACUGGAUGUCAGAUUCGCUUUGCGAAGCUGGUAUCGAAGCUAACGCGUUAAGUAAUCCGCCUGGGAACUACGAUCGCAAGAUUA